UUUCUUAAAGAGCCCAUAAGGCUCUGGAACCCGAAGAGCUUUUCCCUGGAGUUUCGGCCUAGGAGAAAGGACGAGAAGCGCUGGCUGGAUUCCACCAACUCAGCCACCACCAAGGGCAAAGCCCCUUCCCUGAGAAGAAAACCCGGCGGGGCUGAGUGUCAGCAGGACGAGCCACCAAGGAUGGAGAGGUCUUCCUGCCCCCACCCGUCCUGACCAGGGUGUGAGCGGUGCUACCUGGCGGCAGCGAGGCCCACCUUCCCUGGAGCAUCCAAACCCCGGGACACAGAGGGGCCGCCUUCUUGAUGGCGGUGGAAGAGAGCCCAGGUCUGUCGAGCUUCCAGGUAAACCGGCCUGGAAAGACAUCACACUGCAGGCGCGCAAAGUACACGCUUCCUGCGGGCGUUAAACGGGCGCCUCCUGCGGGCGCACGGCCUCUCCUUGGCACGGGGCAUGACUGCCCUGCCGUGGCAGGAGAGCGGUACCAUUGAGCAGCCGGUCCAUGGUCACAUGACAGGAAGGGAAGGGCCCCCAGGAGCCGAGGCCCUUUAAUUCUGGAAUCUGCGCCUUUCUUUACGCUGAUGGAACUUUGAAAGGAAUGACUCUGAACAUCUCUGGGGCCAUGAAAUAAAGGGGGGGGUCCGGUGAACCCCAGAAAAGCAGAACAAAGCAGAGGACCCUGAGGACUUAAGGUGGAGUCAGAGGCGUGGCCAUGGCGGGGAGGCUCUUUCACGUGCCUUAUGUCCAGCAAGACGUGUCAGUUCUCCAAGCAGCCAAGCCCCUGUGAGGUUCAAGCCUGGAAGCAGGGUGGGGCAGCAGGAAGUGGCUUCCAGCAAAGGGGGGAGCCUGGGGGUGGGGGGCUCGUGCAGGACGCCAGCCCGCACUCCCCUUCCGGAGCCCACGUUACUGUGGGUGGGGGAGGUUGCUCGGGGGGGGGCAGCUUUAUAUUUAGGCAGGGUAGGUGGCCGCCUACACUGUGAUGUCACAGGCUCUGGGGGCCUCUUCCAAACCCCAAAAUACCUUCUCCACCUGCUUCCUGGUGCCGGCACGCUCUCUGAGUUAGAAAGGAAGCUGGCUGGCUCCUUCGUGGCAGAGCUGACAGGGGUUCAAGCCAGCCCUCCAUCGAGGAGCAGGUGUGCACAGAUCCUCUGGCUGGAAAGGCACCCAGGCCUGGGCCAGGACGGCCUUGCAGCAUCCCCUGUGCUGCCUCAGCACCUCCUUGAGAACCCCUGGGUGCUAAAGGCGGUUGUGUCUUCACGUACCCCAAGCCCUGCCCAGAGCCGGGCUCUCGGCCAAAUGCCUGGGAUGUCACAGGCAAGUUGCACCUGUCUCUGUCCAGAAGAAGCAGCAGAUGAAGUGAGAGUCUCACACGUAAGCCACUGUGCAUUGUGACAUGUCCAGAGAGAGAAAUGUACCAUGGGUCACAAGGCACACAGCAGAGUGCCCCAAUUUUGUUUGGUUAGUUGGAGAAGGGCAUGUUAGCUGAGGUUUUGGGGGUAAAUAGGAGUUUUCUAGGUAGCAAGUGGGGACGAAGUCUCCAUGCAGAGGGAUGGCUGGAGAGAGGAAGGAGCCGGCCUGUUAAAGGACCUCACUUUAGGGGUCAGGGGUCCAGAGAGGGAAGGGAAAGUCGGAGAGAGGAAGCCGAGAGGCGGACAGGCGGCAGCUUCUUGCUGAAGUCCGUGCACUCACAGCAGCAUCUCACUGAUGCCUGGGCCACUGUUAGGCACUCAGCUCGGGCUCCCCCUGCCCAGGCUCACAUCUCCAGGGAACGAUGAGGUGAGUCGUGUGCAUAUUAACGUUUGGGAUGUCCUGCCCCAUGGUUGGAUGGAGGACGCGGCUUUGCCCCAGCUCGUGGGCCAGUGUGCUGAGCAGUCAUGUGCUCGAGAUUUAGAAAGUGGGUUUUUUUUUCUUUCCUUCUGACAAUAAAUAGCUUCAGAUCAUCAGGAAAAAAAAAUGUUCAAGGCAGCAUAAAAAUUCAUUCAUUCAGACCCAAUUAUUUGAGAAUCUAGAAAAGAAAGGUUCUGAGCACCUGUUUGAUGAAUAAAUUUGCAAUGUAAAAAAUCGGUGGUUUUUGUUUUCUUGCAACACCCAAACCGGCUGCUGAGCCCACUGUGGAUGUUUCGGUGUAGGAUGCUGUGGUUACCCCAGCAGACGUGUGCUCAUCACAGAGCCCUGGAAAGCAUCUUCGGGGGACCCACGUGGUCAUUCAAGGUGUGAUCAGAUCAGGUGGCGGGGGGGCGGGGGGGCGGGGGCUCAGAGCGGACCCGGGCCUGGGGUCCUCAGACUGUGCUGUCCUCCUGCGGUGGCCUCUGCCUCAGGGGCUGGGAAAGUAAGCGUGGUCCUGAUGCUUGCUGGAGACGGCAAGGGGUGGACUCAGUCCUGUGGCAAAGAGGCCGUGCUAUUGCCGUCCCUGGGAGGCGGGACUCAACUGCCGGGCAAGCAGGGAGCGUGGGGUGAGGCGCCCCCACGAAGCAGCUCAGCAGGACCUCUGAGGAAACG
rnacentral:lncRNA from 1 species